CCUAGCGGCGGACGGGUGAGUAAUGCUUAGGAAUCUGCCUAUUAGUGGGGGACAACAUUCCGAAAGGAAUGCUAAUACCGCAUACGCCCUACGGGGGAAAGCAGGGGAUCUUCGGACCUUGCGCUAAUAGAUGAGCCUAAGUCAGAUUAGCUAGUUGGUGGGGUAAAGGCCUACCANGGCGACGAUCUGUAGCGGGUCUGAGAGGAUGAUCCGCCACACUGGGACUGAGACACGGCCCAGACUCCUACGGGAGGCAGCAGUGGGGAAUAUUGGACAAUGGGCGAAAGCCUGAUCCAGCCAUGCCGCGUGUGUGAAGAAGGCCUUUUGGUUGUAAAGCACUUUAAGCGAGGAGGAGGCUACUUGGAUUAAUACUCUAGGAUAGUGGACGUUACUCGCAGAAUAAGCACCGGCUAACUCUGUGCCAGCAGCCGCGGUAAUACAGAGGGUGCGAGCGUUAAUCGGAUUUACUGGGCGUAAAGCGUGCGUAGGCGGCUUUUUAAGUCGGAUGUGAAAUCCCUGAGCUUAACUUAGGAAUUGCAUUCGAUACUGGGAAGCUAGAGUAUGGGAGAGGAUGGUAGAAUUCCAGGUGUAGCGGUGAAAUGCGUAGAGAUCUGGAGGAAUACCGAUGGCGAAGGCAGCCAUCUGGCCUAAUACUGACGC
rnacentral:rRNA from 1 species